GACGCCUGCCCGGUGCUGGAAGGUUAAGGGGAUCUGUUAGAGCAAUCGAAGCAGUGAACUUAAGCCCCAGUAAACGGCGGCCGUAACUAUAACGGUCCUAAGGUAGCGAAAUUCCUUGUCGGGUAAGGUCCGACCCGCACGAAAGGCGUAACGAUUUGGGCACUGUCUCAACAACAGACUCGGUGAAAUUGUAAUUCCGGUGAAGAUGCCGGAUACCUGCGACAGGACGGAAAGACCCCAUGGAGCUUUACUGUAGCUUGACAUUGGGUCUUGGUACUACAUGUACAGGAUAGGUGGGAGGCUUUGAAACCAGGACGCCAGUUUUGGCGGAGCCAUCCUUGGGAUACCACCCUUGUAGUACUGGGACUCUAACCAUAGGCCAUGAAUCUGGUCUUGGGACACUGUCAGGUGGGCAGUUUGACUGGGGCGGUCGCCUCCCAAAAGGUAACGGAGGCGCUCAAAGGUUCUCUCAGUACGGUCGGAAAUCGUACGUAGAGUGUAAAGGCAAAAGAGAGCUUGAUUGCAAGACAUACAGGUCGAGCAAGGAUGAAAAUCGGACUUAGUGAUCCGGUGGUUCUGCGUGGAAGGGCCAUCGCUCAACGGAUAAAAGCUACCCUGGGGAUAACAGGC
rnacentral:rRNA from 1 species